rnacentral:rRNA from 1 species
UUGACCUCGGAUCACGGAGGGAUACCCGCUGAACUUACUUCUAUCGUAACG